GAUGAACGCUGGCGGCGUGCCUAAUACAUGCAAGUCGAGCGAACGGACGAGAAGCUUGCUUCUCUGAUGUUAGCGGCGGACGGGUGAGUAACACGUGGAUAACCUACCUAUAAGACUGGGAUAACUUCGGGAAACCGUAGCUAAUACCGGAUAAUAUUUUGAACCGCAUGGUUCAAAAGUGAAAGACGGUCUUGCUGUCACUUAUAGAUGGAUCCGCGCUGCAUUAGCUAGUUGGUAAGGUAACGGCUUACCAAGGCAACGAUGCAUAGCCGACCUGAGAGGGUGAUCGGCCACACUGGAACUGAGACACGGUCCAGACUCCUACGGGAGGCAGCAGUAGGGAAUCUUCCGCAAUGGGCGAAAGCCUGACGGAGCAACGCCGCGUGAGUGAUGAAGGUCUUCGGAUAGUAAAACUCUGUUAUUAGGGAAGAACAUAUGUGUAAGUAACUGUGCACAUCUUGACGGUACCUAAUCAGAAAGCCACGGCUAACUACGUG
rnacentral:rRNA from 1 species